CCUACGGGAGGCUGCAGUGGGGGAUAUUGCACAAUGGGGGGAACCCUGAUGCAGCGACGCCGCGUGGGUGAAGAAGCGCCUCGGCGCGUAAAGCCCUGUCAGCAGGGAAGAAAAUGACGGUACCUGAAGCAGAAGCCCCGGCUAACUACGUGCCAGCAGCCGCGGUAAUACGUAGGGGGCAAGCGUUAUCCGGAUUUACUGGGUGUAAAGGGGGCGCAGACGGUGAUGCAAGCCAGGAGUGAAAGCCCGGGCCCAACCCCGGGACUGCUCUUGGAACUGCGUGGCUGGAGUGCAGGAGGGGCAGGCGUAAUUCCUGGUGUAGCGGUGAAAUGCGUAGAUAUCAGGAGGAACACCGGUGGCGAAGGCGGCCUGCUGGACUGCAACUGACGUUGAGGCCCGAAAGCGUGGGGAGCAAACAGGAUUAGAUACCCCAGUAGUC
rnacentral:rRNA from 1 species